CUUCCAGUAGCACCUUAGAGACCAACUAAGUUUGUUACUGGUAUGAGCUUUCGUGUGCAUGGUCUCUAAGGUGCUACUGGAAG